rnacentral:rRNA from 1 species
ACUCCUACGGGAGGCAGCAGUGGGGAAUAUUGCACAAUGGGCGCAAGCCUGAUGCAGCCAUGCCGCGUGUGUGAAGAAGGCCUUCGGGUUGUAAAGCACUUUCAGUUGUGAGGAAAGGUUAGUCGCUAAUAUCGGCUAGCUGUGACGUUAGCAACAGAAGAAGCACCGGCUAACCUCGCUGCCAGCCAGCCGGCAGGUAAUAGCGGAGGUGCGAGCGUUAAUCGGAAUUACUGGGCGUAAAGCGCGUGUAGGUGGCUUGUUAAGCCAGAUGUGAAAGCCCCGGGCUCAACCUGGGAACUGCAUUUGGAACUGGCAGGCUAGAGUUUUGUAGAGGGUGGUAGAAUUUCAGGUGUAGCGGUGAAAUGCGUAGAGAUCUGAAGGAAUACCGGUGGCGAAGGCGACCACCUGGCCAAUAACUGACACUGAGACGCGAAGGCGUGGGUAACAAACGGGAUUAGAUACCCUGGUAGGCUCUG